GAUGAACGCUGGCGGCGUCCUAAUACAUGCCAGUCGAGCGAACAGACGAGGAGCUUGCUCCUCUGACGUUAGCGGCGGACGGGUGAGUAACACGUGGAUAACCUACCUAUAAGACUGGGAUAACUUCGGGAAACCGGAGCUAAUACCGGAUAAUAUAUUGAACCGCAUGGUUCAAUAGUGAAAGACGGUUUUGCUGUCACUUAUAGAUGGAUCCGCGCCGCAUUAGCUAGUUGGUAAGGUAACGGCUUACCAAGGCAACGAUGCGUAGCCGACCUGAGAGGGUGAUCGGCCACACUGGAACUGAGACACGGUCCAGACUCCUACGGGAGGCAGCAGUAGGGAAUCUUCCGCAAAGGGCGAAAGCCUGACGGAGCAACGCCGCGUGAGUGAUGAAGGUCUUCGGAUCGUAAAACUCUGUUAUUAGGGAAGAACAAAUGUGUAAGUAACUAUGCACGUCUUGACGGUACCUAAUCAGAAAGCCACGGCUAACUACGUG
rnacentral:rRNA from 1 species